rnacentral:rRNA from 1 species
GCAAGGGGGUCAUCCCGACUUACCAACCCGAUGCAAACUGCGAAUACCGGAGAAUGUUAUCACGGGAGACACACGGCGGGUGCUAACGUCCGUCGUGAAGAGGGAAACAACCCAGACCGCCAGCUAAGGUCCCAAAGUCAUGGUUAAGUGGGAAACGAUGUGGGAAGGCCCAGACAGCCAGGAUGUUGGCUUAGAAGCAGCCAUCAUUUAAAGAAAGCGUAAUAGCUCACUGGUCGAGUCGGCCUGCGCGGAAGAUGUAACGGGGCUAAACCAUGCACCGAAGCUGCGGCAGCGACACUAUGUGUUGUUGGGUAGGGGAGCGUUCUGUAAGCCUGUGAAGGUGUGCUGUGAGGCAUGCUGGAGGUAUCAGAAGUGCGAAUGCUGACAUAAGUAACGAUAAAGCGGGUGAAAAGCCCGCUCGCCGGAAGACCAAGGGUUCCUGUCCAACGUUAAUCGGGGCAGGGUGAGUCGACCCCUAAGGCGAGGCCGAAAGGCGUAGUCGAUGGGAAACAGGUUAAUAUUCCUGUACUUGGUGUUACUGCGAAGGGGGGACGGAGAAGGCUAUGUUGGCCGGGCGACGGUUGUCCCGGUUUAAGCGUGUAGGCUGGUUUUCCAGGCAAAUCCGGAAAAUCAAGGCUGAGGCGUGAUGACGAGGCACUACGGUGCUGAAGCAACAAAUGCCCUGCUUCCAGGAAAAGCCUCUAAGCAUCAGGUAACAUUAAAUCGUACCCCAAACCGACACAGGUGGUCAGGUAGAGAAUACCAAGGCGCUUGAGAGAACUCGGGUGAAGGAACUAGGCAAAAUGGUGCCGUAACUUCGGGAGAAGGCACGCUGAUAUGUAGGUGAAGUCCCUCGCGGAUGGAGCUGAAAUCAGUCGAAGAUACCAGCUGGCUGCAACUGUUUAUUAAAAACACAGCACUGUGCAAACACGAAAGUGGACGUAUACGGUGUGACGCCUGCCCGGUGCCGGAAGGUUAAUUGAUGGGGUUAGCGGUAACGCGAAGCUCUUGAUCGAAGCCCCGGUAAACGGCGGCCGUAACUAUAACGGUCCUAAGGUAGCGAAAUUCCUUGUCGGGUAAGUUCCGACCUGCACGAAUGGCGUAAUGAUGGCCAGGCUGUCUCCACCCGAGACUCAGUGAAAUUGAACUCGCUGUGAAGAUGCAGUGUACCCGCGGCAAGACGGAAAGACCCCGUGAACCUUUACUAUAGCUUGACACUGAACAUUGAGCCUUGAUGUGUAGGAUAGGUGGGAGGCUUUGAAGUGUGGACGCCAGUCUGCAUGGAGCCGACCUUGAAAUACCACCCUUUAAUGUUUGAUGUUCUAACGUUGACCCGUAAUCCGGGUUGCGGACAGUGUCUGGUGGGUAGUUUGACUGGGGCGGUCUCCUCCUAAAGAGUAACGGAGGAGCACGAAGGUUGGCUAAUCCUGGUCGGACAUCAGGAGGUUAGUGCAAUGGCAUAAGCCAGCUUGACUGCGAGCGUGACGGCGCGAGCAGGUGCGAAAGCAGGUCAUAGUGAUCCGGUGGUUCUGAAUGGAAGGGCCAUCGCUCAACGGAUAAAAGGUACUCCGGGGAUAACAGGCUGAUACCGCCCAAGAGUUCAUAUCGACGGCGGUGUUUGGCACCUCGAUGUCGGCUCAUCACAUCCUGGGGCUGAAGUAGGUCCCAAGGGUAUGGCUGUUCGCCAUUUAAAGUGGUACGCGAGCUGGGUUUAGAACGUCGUGAGACAGUUCGGUCCCUAUCUGCCGUGGGCGCUGGAGAACUGAGGGGGGCUGCUCCUAGUACGAGAGGACCGGAGUGGACGCAUCACUGGUGUUCGGGUUGUCAUGCCAAUGGCACUGCCCGGUAGCUAAAUGCGGAAGAGAUAAGUGCUGAAAGCAUCUAAGCACGAAACUUGCC